rnacentral:rRNA from 1 species
CCUACGGGGGGCUGCAGUGAGGAAUAUUGGACAAUGGGCGCAAGCCUGAUCCAGCCAUGCCGCGUGCAGGAUGAAGCAUCUAUGGUGUGUAAACUGCUUUUGUACGGGAAGAAAAAACAUUACGAGUAAUGUACUGACGGUACCGUAAGAAUAAGGAUCGGCUAACUCCGUGCCAGCAGCCGCGGUAAUACGGAGGAUCCAAGCGUUAUCCGGAAUCAUUGGGUUUAAAGGGUCCGUAGGCGGCCUUAUAAGUCAGCGGUGAAAGUUUUUGGCUU